rnacentral:rRNA from 1 species
UACGGGGGGGCAAGCGUUGUUCGGAAUUACUGGGCGUAAAGGGCUCGUAGGCGGCCAACUAAGUCGGAUGUGAAAUCCCCAGGCUUAACCUGGGAACUGCAUCCGAUACUGGAUGGCUUGAAUCCGGGAGAGGGAUGCGGAAUUCCAGGUGUAGCGGUGAAAUGCGUAGAUAUUGGGAGGAACACCAGUGGCGAAGGCGGCUCACUGGACCGGAACUGACGCUGAGGCGCGAAGCGUGGGAGCAACGG